UACGGAGGAUCCGAGCGUUAUCCGGAUUUAUUGGGUUUAAAGGGAGCGUAGGUGGAUUGUUAAGUCAGUUGUGAAAGUUUGCGGCUCAACCGUAAAAUUGCAGUUGAAACUGGCAGUCUUGAGUACAGUAGAGGUGGGCGGAAUUCGUGGUGUAGCGGUGAAAUGCUUAGAUAUCACGAAGAACUCCGAUUGCGAAGGCAGCUCUCUGGCCUGUAACUGACACUGAGGCUCGAAAGCGUGGGGAGCAAACAGG
rnacentral:rRNA from 1 species